UACGUAGGGGGCAAGCGUUGUCCGGAUUUAUUGGGCGUAAAGAGCGUGUAGGCGGCCACACAGGUCUGCUGUGAAAACUCGAGGCUCAACCUCGAGCUGUCGGUGGAAACCGUGUGGCUAGAGUCCGGAAGAGGAGAGUGGAAUUCCCGGUGUAGCGGUGAAAUGCGCAGAUAUCGGGAAGAACACCCGUGGCGAAGGCGGCUCUCUGGGACGGUACUGACGCUGAGACGCGAAAGCGUGGAGAGCGAACGAGG
rnacentral:rRNA from 1 species